ACAAGGGGAAGACUCACAUAGAGGCAGCAGUAGAGAAUCUUGUGCAAUGAACGAAAGUAUGACACAGAGAGGACACAUUUAAUUGAGCCUGUCAAAUUAAGUGCCAGCCGACGCGGUUAGACUUAAGGGCUGGUCUUUAUAAGUAAAAAGGCGUAAAGGAUGUGUAGGCCAAGAAAUUAUCCAAGAAGGUAAAUGGAAUUUUUCUGGAGCGGUAGAAUGUGAGGAUAGAAAAUAGAACCCCUAAGGUUAAAACUAUUUACCACAAGAUAGGCUGAAACAUGAAAGUAUGGGGAGCAAACAGGAUUAGAGACCCUGGUAGUCCAUACUGUGAACUUUGAAGAUGAUGCUUAGCAGACCCGAAAGGUAAAAUCUUCCGCCUGAGUAGUACGAUCGCAAGAUUAAAAUUCAAAAACUUUGGCUGUUCACUAUUUCGAUUAGAGGAGCGUGUAGUUUAAUUCGAUGGUCCGCGUGUUACCUUACCCCAGCUUGAAUCUGUGACCGGUAUUGCAUGGCCGUCGUAAGUUCGUGUAUUAAGCUAGAAGGGACCCAACCCGGGCAUUUGCCCGGAGGAAGUCAGGUCUUAUGAUCCGAAUGUUGGGGGAUUUUAUGCGCUACAUUUUCUUAUAUAAUGAGAAACCUGGAAGGUGAAUCUCUAAAGUAAGAGUUCGGAAGGUCGCUGUAAGACGACUGGAAGUUGGAUUUAAUAGUAAUCGGAAAGUAGGGCGUUCCGGUGAAUUGGUACAAGUGUUAGCACAAAUUGCCCGUCACCUUUACUUAGAAUGGUUAUUCGGAUGUCUUCGGUGAUUAUGAAUGCCUACGAGGUAAAGCAAGUCGUAACAUA
rnacentral:rRNA from 1 species